rnacentral:rRNA from 1 species
ACCAGACUCCUACGGGAGGCAGCAGUGGGGAAUAUUGCACAAUGGGGGAAACCCUGAUGCAGCGACGCCGCGUGAGCGAUGAAGUAUUUCGGUAUGUAAAGCUCUAUCAGCAGGGAAGAAGAUGACGGUACCUGACUAAGAAGCCCCGGCUAACUACGUGCCAGCAGCCGCGGUAAUACGUAGGGGGCAAGCGUUAUCCGGAUUUACUGGGUGUAAAGGGGGCGCAGACGGCGAUGCAAGCCAGGAGUGAAAGCCCGGGGCCCAACCCCGGGACUGCAUUGGGAACUACCGGGCUGGAGUGCCGGAGAGGUAGGCGGAAUUCCUAGUGUAGCGGUGAAAUGCGUAGAUAUUAGGAGGAACACCAGUGGCGAAGGCGGCCUACUGGACGGUGACUGACGCUGAGGCUCGAAAGCGUGGGGAGCAAACAGGAUUAGAUACCCUAGUA